GCGGGUGUAGCUCAAUGGCAGAGCCCCUGUUUUCCAAGCAGGAUAUGGGAGUUCGAUUCUCCCCACCCGCU
rnacentral:tRNA from 1 species